rnacentral:sRNA from 1 species
CUUUUGCGUUAGCGAUUGAAACGGCAUCCUUUUUGCCUUUUCGGUAAAAAGAUAUAGUGUAAAGCGCGCCCCUUG